rnacentral:rRNA from 1 species
GGGAUUGCCUCAGUAACGGCGAGUGAAGCGGCAACAGCUCAAAUUUGAAAUCUGGCUCCUCCGGGGUCCGAGUUGUAAUUUGUAGAGAGUGCUUCGGGUGAGACCACGGUCUAAGUCUAUUGGAACAUUACGUCAUAGAGGGUGAGAACCCCGUAUGUGACUGUGGCUCGAGCCCAUGUGAAGCCUCUUCGACGAGUCGAGUUGUUUGGGAAUGCAGCUCAAAAUGGGUGGUAAAUUUCAUCUAAAGCUAAAUACUGGCUGGAGACCGAUAGCGCACAAGUAGAGUGAUCGAAAGAUGAAAAGCACUUUGGAAAGAGAGUCAAACAGUACGUGAAAUUGUUGAAAGGGAAGCGCUGGCAACCAGACCUGUCCGUAGGCGAUCAGCCGCUGUUCUCAGUGGUGCACUCGUUCUGCGAUCAGGCCAGCAUCGGUUUCGGCGGUCGGAUAAAGGCCUGGGGAACGUAGCUCCCUUUCGGGGGAGUGUUAUAGACCCGGGCGCAAUGCGGCCAGCCGGGACCGAGGACCGCGCUUCGGCUAGGAUGCUGGCGUAAUGGUUGUCAGCGACCCGUCUUGAAACACGGACCAAGGAGUCUAACAUCUAUGCGAGUGUUUGGGUGUCAAACCCAUGCGCGGAAUGAAAGUGAACGGAGGUGAGAACCCUUUAGGGCGCAUCAUCGACCGAUCCAGAUGUCUUCGGAUGGAUUUGAGUAUGAGCAUAGCUGUUGGGACCCGAAAGAUGGUGAACUAUGCCCUGAAUAGGGUGAAAGCCAGGAGGAAACUCUGGUGGAAGGCUCGCACGGUUUCUGACGUUGCAAAAUCGAUCGUCAAAUUUGGGUAUAGGGGGUAAGCCUUAAUAUUCUGUUGGAAGACGCCC